rnacentral:rRNA from 1 species
UACGGGGGGGGUAAGCGUUGUUCGGAAUUACUGGGCGUAAAGGGCUCGUAGGUGGCCAACUAAGUCAGACGUGAAAUCCCCAGGCUUAACCUGGGAACUGCGUCUGAUACUGGAUGGCUUGAAUUCGGGAGAGGGAUGCAGAAUUCCAGGUGUAGCGGUGAAAUGCGUAGAUAUCUGGAGGAAUACCGGUGGCGAAGGCGGCAUCCUGGACCGAGAUUGACACUGAUGAGCGAAAGCCAGGGGAGCAAACGGA